GCAAACUUGGUCAUUUAGAGGAAGUAAAAGUCGUAACAAGGUUUCCGUAGGUGAACCUGCGGAAGGAUCAUUAUAGAAAUUAGAAAAGAGAUCUGUUAACGCAGAUUCUGUUUUCGCCGAACAGCAAUUGUCCGGUUCAUCCUUGUCUACGAGCACUCCUGUUUCCUCGGCGGGUCCGCCCGCCGACGGACCCACAGUUUAACGCUUAUGAUGUACUUGGUGUUGUCUGAGCUAUAUGCAAAAUCUAUCAAAACUUUCAACAACGGAUCUCUUGGUUCUGGCAUCGAUGAAGAACGCAGC
rnacentral:misc_RNA from 1 species